rnacentral:rRNA from 1 species
GAUGAACGCUGGCGGCGUGCCUAAUACAUGCAAGUCGAGCGAACGGACGAGAAGCUUGCUUCUCUGAUGUUAGCGGCGGACGGGUGAGUAACACGUGGAUAACCUACCUAUAAGACUGGGAUAACUUCGGGAAACCGGAUCUAAUACCGGAUGAUAUUUUGAACCGCAUGGUUCAAAAGUGAAAGACGGUCUUGCUGUCACUUAUAGAUGGAUCCGCGCUGCAUUAGCUAGUUGGUAAGGUAACGGCUUACCAAGGCAACGAUGCAUAGCCGACCUGAGAGGGUGAUCGGCCACACUGGAACUGAGACACGGUCCAGACUCCUACGGGAGGCAGCAGUGGGGAAUCUUCCGCAAUGGGCGAAAGCCUGACGGAGCAACGCCGCGUGAGUGAUGAAGGUCUUCGGAUCGUAAAACUCUGUUAUUAGGGAAGAACAUAUGUGUACGUAACUGUGCACAUCUUGACGGUACCUAAUCAGAAAGCCCCGGCUAACUACGUG